AGACACAUCAAACCGAUGGAGUGAAGCAUCUGCAAAGGAAGUAUCGGUGAGUUUGGAACUUCUUCUAGGGAUUUUCUAUACAGAAGAAUGCAUACUACUCUAGCCUAAUCAUGUAAUAGCAUCUUGACAAAUAACUUAGGGCAGUUGUUGAUUAAAGAGGGGGAAAUCAACAAAAGCUUUGGGCGUUAUGCACCAAGGAGAAGAAAAUGCUGCAGGGGGGCAUUUUAUAUUUGCAAACAGAAGAUUAAAAUGUACCAAGUAAUUACCAUUGCUUACAAAAGGUAUGUCAUAGUCCUCAUCGACCAUUGUCAAGGAUGCUUGCUUUAAUAACACUGAUCCUGGAAAUUCUUCUGCAGCGGUAGCCGGGCAAUGGAGCAUGAUUGAACCUGGUAUGUCAUUUGCAGCGGUGCUUACAUGGUAUUGUUCGGAGCCAGAACCAAGGUAAACACUGAUGUCAAUAGACGCAUCCUGGGAGAGUACGAUGCACAUAAUGAUAUCAGAUGACAGAUUAUAGACCAACUGAAGUAUAAAGCAUAGAGGAAAAUUUGGGCCACCUUUGAAUGUAUUUUGUGUUCAUGUUUUGAAAGAGAUGGUAAGGGCCCUCCCAUUCAUUAAAAAGAGAUGGCAGGGAACAAAGCACAACUUUUGCAAACAAAGGAAAGAGUAUAUUCUACUAUGGUAGUGCCAGUUUGAGCAAUCCCCCUGGUUUCAAGGAAACGAGGAAAGUAAAGAAGAAACUAGCUACAUGCCUUAAUACUUGCUCUAUUUUUUCCCGAAAAGAAAACUCCCCUCGGGCUUCAUAGCCAGAGUAUAACAAGACAGUUCUAUACUAAAGUAAUUUUGAUAAAAUGUACUACAACAUCACAAAAUUAGUAUGGUACCGAGUAAGAUUAGGAAUAAUGACAAUUCGCUCUGGAGGAUAUAAAAGUAGCUGAAUUGCAUUACAAAUAUACUUUUGCAGGAGCUAUUGUAUAACAGCAUUACUUACUUCUUCAUUUGGCGUCACUCG
rnacentral:lncRNA from 1 species